GAUGAACGCUGGCUACAGGCUUAACACAUGCAAGUCGAGGGGAAACGACGGGGAAGCUUGCUUCCCCGGGCGUCGACCGGCGCACGGGUGAGUAACGCGUAUCCAACCUGCCUCUGACUGAGGGAUAACCCGUCGAAAGUCGGCCUAAUACCUCAUGGCAUCGUCUGCGGGCAUCCAACGACGAUUAAAGAUUUCAUCGGUCAGGGAUGGGGAUGCGUCUGAUUAGCUAGUUGGCGGGGUAACGGCCCACCAAGGCGACGAUCAGUAGGGGUUCUGAGAGGAAGGUCCCCCACAUUGGAACUGAGACACGGUCCAAACUCCUACGGGAGGCAGCAGUGAGGAAUAUUGGUCAAUGGGCGAGAGCCUGAACCAGCCAAGUAGCGUGCAGGAUGACGGCCCUAUGGGUGGUAAACUGCUUUUAUGCGGGGAUAAAGUGAGGGACGUGUCCUUCAUUGCAGGUACCGCAUGAAUAAGGACCGGCUAAUUCCGUG
rnacentral:rRNA from 1 species